rnacentral:lncRNA from 1 species
GGUCGACGAGCGCAGCCGUCGCGCCAGCGGGGGCGGCGGCGUCCGCAGGGACUACGACGGCGAUGUCAUGAUGGCUGAUGCGUGAGAUACUCGUCAGAGAGUACGUCCUGCUGCGGAGUCGCUUCUCGAGCACGAGAUCCGUCGGUUUGGUCAGACACCGCGACGGCGGCGGCGGCGGCGGCGAGGGGAAGGUAGCCGAGCUUGACACGGCCCCUCCACCUGACCCUUCAGCAGUCUCGACUCUCGAGUGCUGCAUCGAUCUCAACUCUCAAGCUGUCCACAACGACUCGAUCCAUGCGUACCGUGCCACCGUCGGCAUCCGCCCGCCGCCGCUUGUGACCGUGUCGUAUUUAGUUAGUUUCAGGUCAUAUCAACUUCUGUAAUUUAACGUGUAAAAGUAUCCAGGUUAUUUUCAGAGAAUAUGCAACUAUAUACUCUCCA